rnacentral:tRNA from 1 species
UCCCUGGUGGCCUUGUGGUUAAGCACUCGGCAUUGUCACUGCUGUGGCUUGGGUUCGAUCCCUGGCCUGGGAA